rfam:Triticum aestivum genome assembly, contig: Triticum_aestivum_CS42_TGACv1_scaffold_328440_4BS
UUAAUACUCCCUCCAUCUAGAAAUACUUGUCCCCAAAAUGGUUGUAUCUAGACUUAUUUUAGUUAUAGAUAAAUCCAUUUUAUUCAUUUCUAGGACAAGUAUUUCUGGACGGAGGGAGUACAAU